rnacentral:rRNA from 1 species
GACGAACGCUGGCGGCGUGCUUAACACAUGCAAGUCGAACGGAAAGGCCCUGCGUUUGUGGGGUGCUCGAGUGGCGAACGGGUGAGUAACACGUGAGUAAACUGCCCUUGACUGUGUGAGAACUUCAGGAAACUGGGGCGAAUACCGGAUAGGAGCUUCUGCUGCAUGUUGGUGGUUGGAAAGUGUCGGCGGUUGUGGAUGGACUCGCUGGUUAUCAGCUGGUUGGGGAGGUAGGUACUUACGAAGGCUAUGACGGGUAGCCGGCCGGAGAGGGUGACCGGCCACAUGAGGACUGCGAUACGGCCCAGACUGCUAUCGGAGGCAGCAGGGGGGAAUAUUGCGCAACGGGGGGGAGCCAGAUGCAGCAACGUCGCGUGCGGGAUGAUGGGCUUCGGGUUGUAAACCGAUUUCGACUGUGACGAAGAGUGAGUGACGGUACUGGGUCAAGAAGCACCGGCUAACUACGUG